rnacentral:rRNA from 1 species
UGAACUGUGGUAGGUGAGUAAUGUUCCCUACUAGAAAGGAGAGGGCAAGGCUGGUGCCAGCCGCCGCGGUAAAACCAGCUCUUCAAGUGGUCGGGAUAAUUAUUGGGCUUAAAGUGUCCGUAGCCGGUUUAGUAAGUUCCUGGUAAAAUCGGGUAGCUUAACUAUCUAUAUGCUAGGAAUACUACUAUACUAGAGGGCGGGAGAGGUCUGAGGUACUACAGGGGUAGGGGUGAAAUCUUAUAAUCCUUGUUGGACCACCAGUGGCGAAGGCGUCAGACUGGAACGCGCCUGACGGUGAGGGACGAAAGCCAGGGGAGCGAACCGGAUUAGAUACCCGGGUAGUCCUGGCCGUAAACGAUGCAUACUAGGUGAUGGCACGGCCAUGAGCCGUGUCAGUGCCGUAGGGAAACCGUUAAGUGUGCCGCCUGGAA